ACUGUAAGCCAGCUCCAUCUUUGCUGGAGUUCGAAUCGCACAGAGAUUUAGCUUGAGAAUGACUUCGCUCGGCGUUGUUCGCGCGUGUUAUCAGCACGCCUUUGGUGCGAGUGUGUGGCUAUUUUGUGGCCCCGCAAUAGAUCCCAAAAGAUAUGGAAUGAUAUGAAAAGCAGGGUGAGAAUCUACGCCACAUCGACUGCGGCAGAGGACCUACCAACCUUCCUAAAGGACACCAACUCUAGCACUAACGAGCUGAUGAGCGUUGGAGCAGAGCCGGGUAGAAUUCUUAUGCAUUGAGAAGCUGCGAGCAUGCGAAGCAUUCUUGCAGCAAGUGAAUGCUGGCAGGGUGCAGGCUGAGGCAGCUAUUAUUUCUGUCAAAACAGAUGAUCUGCAUGCCCAAUCCGUAGCUGCUAUUUGCAAAGCAAUUACCGAGUUGGUGCCUGCAGUUAACCUUUUUGAUAGAAUAUUUAACAAGAAUGACAGACUUCUUUGAAGAAUCAAAAGCAAGCUCGCUCUGGAAAUGAAGGAUCAUUUGGGGU